AUUGAACGCUGGCGGCAGGCUUAACACAUGCAAGUCGAACGAGCGGCGGACGGGUGAGUAAUGUCUGGGAAACUGCCUGAUGGAGGGGGAUAACUACUGGAAACGGUAGCUAAUACCGCAUACCAUCAGAUGUGCCCAGAGGGGAUUAGCUAGUAGGUGGGGUAAGGGCUCACCGAGGCGACGAUCCCUAGCUGGUCUGAGAGGAUGACCAGCCACACGGGAACGGAGACACGGUACAGACUCCUACGGGAGGCAGCAGUGGGGAAUAUUGCACAAUGGGCGAAAGCCUGAUGCAGCCAUGCCGCGUGUGUGAAGAAGGCCUUCGGGUUGUAAAGCACUUUCAGCUGGGAGGCGUUACCCACAGAAAAAGCACCGGCUAACUCCGUGCCAGCAGCCGCGGUAAUUC
rnacentral:rRNA from 1 species